GAUGAACGCUGGCGGCGUGCCUAAUACAUGCAAGUCGAGCGAACGGACGAGAAGCUUGCUUCUCUGAUGCUAGCGGCGGACGGGUGAGUAACACGUGGAUAACCUACCUAUAAGACUGGGACAACUUCGGGAAACCGGAGCUAAUACCGGAUAAUAUUUUGAACCGCAUGGUUCAAAAGUGAAAGACGGUCUUGCUGUCACUUAUAGAUGGAUCCGCGCUGCAUUAGCUAGUUGGUAAGGUAACGGCUUACCAAGGCAACGAUGCAUAGCCGACCUGAGAGGGUGAUCGGCCACACUGGAACUGAGACACGGUCCAGACUCCUACGGGAGGCAGCAGUAGGGAAUCUUCCGCAAUGGGCGAAAGCCUGACGGAGCAACGCCGCGUGAGUGAUGAAGGUCUUCGGAUCGUAAAACUCUGUUAUUAGGGAAGAACAUAUGUGUAAGUAACUGUGCACAUCUUGACGGUACCUAAUCAGAAAGCCACGGCUAACUACGUG
rnacentral:rRNA from 1 species